rnacentral:lncRNA from 1 species
UUUUUUUUUUUUUUUUUUUUGAGAUGGAGUCUUGUUCUGUCCCCAGGCUGGAGUACAGUGGCUCGAUCUCAGCUCACUGCAAGCUCCGCCUCCCGGGUUCACGCCAUUCUCCUGCCUCAGCCUCCCGAGUAGCUAGGACUACAGGCGCCCGCCACCACGCCUGGCUAAUUUUUUUUUUGUAUUUUUAUAGAGACGAGACAGGCUUUCACCAUGUUGCCUGGGCUGGUCUUGCACUCCUGAUCUCAAGUGGUCUGCCCACCUCAGCCUCCCAAAGUGCUGGAAUUGGAGGCGCGAGCCACUGCACCCAGCCCCUGAGUUGAUUCUUCAAAGAGGUGGCCCAGGUAUCCAGCAGGAGUGCAGGGAGGAAAAGAGUUUCAGGCAGAAGGAGGGGAGUGAGCAAAGGCAUGGAGGUGGGACCCUGCCAGUUUGCCCAGAGGGCUGCUAGCCUCUCGGUGCUAGGGAAGGUAAGGGGCCAGGGUGACCCUUUUCAAGUGCAGCUCUGGCCACAUCACUCCUCUGCUAACAGUGCAGUGAGUUCCCUCGCCUGCAGAAGGAGCUUCAGUUCCCCUAAGCUCCAUCAAGAUCUGACUCCCGCUCACCCCUCAUCUUCCCACCUCCCCUGCCCUCUGUGACCAGUCACACUAAUGCACCACUCAGAAUCACUAUUUCCACUCUUCCUGUCCCAAUGCCUGCCCUCUACCUUGAAUGACCACCCUCCCGCUCUCCCGCUUCACCUGGGUAACGCUUUUCAGGACUUAGUUCCAGAGUCCCCAGUCCUGGUCUCCACCUGGGUUAGGUGUCGGCUCUGGGCUCCCACGGCAUCCUCAACAUACCCCACCUGCCAGAGCCCAGGACAGCAGGCGCAUGAUAUUGAUGACCAUACAGUGGCCAGCGAGGUUGUCAGUUCCCUUCCCAAGUGGUUCUCUUGGCCCCUCUCUGUGUCUAGCACCUGAAGGAGAUGUGAAGAGGCGGGGACGGGAAAAUAAACCAGCCCGCAGGGUGCAUGUCACCAUGCCAUCCAAGCCCAGGUCUGAAAACCCAGGUGUGAGCCUUUUCUCUCAGUGUGGCUGGUGACACCUGCAGCGAGAGGGUUCUCCCUGCAUCGCCAUCCUGGCAGAACUUGUGCCAGCCUUUUUGGCCCUUCUGUUUGAGCAGGCAAUUGGUAACACACAUCGGGGUCCCCAGGUUGGUACCUGAACCAACGUCAGCUCUGGCAAUGCCACCUCUCAGAAGAGUGGCCCUGGCUGGAGCAGAGUCGGGGCUGGGGGUCCCUGGACACUCGCUCUGCCCCUAGCUGGCCAGAGUUCCAGAAAACCCACAUCUCACAGUCCACCCUUGACCCUGAGCCCUUUUAUCUGGUGGGUCUAGAACACAGUUUGGGGGAUGACCUCCAUCACAAUCCCUUUCCCUGCUUCACCCCUGCAGCCUGGUGAAUGCCUCCAGGGCAGAGGACAAGUGCAGGGGGCCUCCGUUCCUGCCUGCCCAGUACCCGUGCCCCUCGCCUGCUGCCAGCACAGACUGCCCACCGUGGGGCUCCUGGGUAGAGGACAAGUGUGGGGGCC